rnacentral:rRNA from 1 species
UACGAAGGGGGCUAGCGUUGCUCGGAAUCACUGGGCGUAAAGGGUGCGUAGGCGGGUCUUUCAGUCAGGGGUGAAAUCCUGGAGCUCAACUCCAGAACUGCCUUUGAUACUGAGGAUCUUGAGUUCGGGAGAGGUGAGUGGAACUGCGAGUGUAGAGGUGAAAUUCGUAGAUAUUCGCAAGAACACCAGUGGCGAAGGCGGCUCACUGGCCCGAUACUGACGCUGAGGCACGAAAGCGUGGGGAGCAAACAGG